rnacentral:rRNA from 1 species
UGGGGAAUAUUGCACAAUGGGCGCAAGCCUGAUGCAGCCAUGCCGCGUGUAUGAAGAAGGCCUUCGGGUUGUAAAGUACUUUCAGCGGGGAGGAAGGGAGUAAAGUUAAUACCUUUGCUCAUUGACGUUACCCGCAGAAGAAGCACCGGCUAACUCCGUGCCAGCAGCCACGGUAAUACGGAGGGUGCAAGCGUUAAUCGGAAUUACUGGGCGUAAAGCGCACGCAGGCGGUUUGUUAAGUCAGAUGUGAAAUCCCCGGGCUCAACCUGGGAACUGCAUCUGAUACUGGCAAGCUUGAGUCUCGGAGAGGGGGGUAGAAUUCCAUGUGUAGCGGUGAAAUGCGUAGAGAUGUGGAGGAAUACCGGUGGCGAAGGCGGCCCCCUGGACAAAGACUGACGCUCAGGUGCGAAAGCGUGGGGAGCAAACAGG